CUUUAAUCAGACUAUGGAUGGUAUCCUGGACAGAAGUCAAAACAACAUCAGGUCAAGCCCGAUAGGACUGCUAUUCACACUCUCAAAGAUGACAAAGGAUUAACAGAUAUUUGGAGAUUGGUUAAUCCACAAGAAAGCUCUUAUCGAUUCUGGGUCAGCUGGUAACUUCAUCUCCGGGAACCUCAGACGGCAGCUCAAACUCCGGAAGAGUUACAUCUCGACCCGCUACCAAGUCCAAUCCAUAACUGGCAAGUCUCUCAGCAGCCGCAAUGUCCAGUUUAGAGUUGGACCACUCCAGUUAAGGGUCGGAGUAUGCCACACUGAAACCCUUCCUUUGCUAGGUUCUAGAGCACUCAACUGCGGAUAUCAUAUUGGGUCACCCUUGGCUGAACAAACAUUAACCAGAGAUCCUUUGGAAGACCGGGGAGAUCCUGAAGUGAGGCGAUCAAUGUUGCGCUGAGUGCUUUCCAUCACUACUACUUCAAUGUUUUCAAGAUCCUCCUGUGUUAUCAGUGUGCUCCACAUCCAUUGAAAGCCCGGUUGAGAAACAAUCUGUGAAUAUUCCUACCUACUAUGACCCCUUCAGUGAUGUCUUCUGUCCAAAAAUGGCGAGCCAGCUUCCUCCACGUCAGCCAUGGGACUGUGUGAUUGACCUUAUACCAUGUGAGCCAGUGCCCUGUGGUAAGAUUUAUUCACUCUCCAUCCUUGAACAGAAGGCCAUGGAGGAAUAUAUAGAGGAGAUGUCAGGAGAUUUGUGCAAGGAUGCAGGGAAUGCGCUAUCUUAAAGAGGCCACGCCAAUUACUAUCUGGCAAACUCCAUCCACUGCCCGUUCCACAUCACCCCUGGUCACACCUAGAAGUAGAUUUCAUUACUGAUCUCCCACCGUCCUCUGGUAAGACCUGCAUUCUAGUCAUUGUGGACAGAUUUUCUAAAUCCUGUUAUCUGAUUCCCCUUAGAAACCUACCCACUGCAAUGGAGACUGCUGAACUCUUGUUCCAAUAUGUGUUCUGGUACUGUAGCUCAUCACCACCUGCAGAGGAAAAUGCACCAACAACGGAUCCAGGCUGAUGCUCGGCGGGCCGUGAUGCUCUCCGUGAAGGAGAUUCUGGACUCCUAAUACCGUGGUGGCCGUUUGGAGUAUCUAGUGGAUUGGGAAGGCUAUGGUCCCAAGGAAUGUUCCUGGGUCCCAAGAGAUGACAUCCGUGAUUCAACCUUACUUACAGCCUUCCAUGAAUCAUCACAUGGAAGAGGACGGCCGCCACAACGUCAGGGUCCGCGGCCCUCUGGAGUGGGCCGUGGGGGAGGGGGUAAUGUCACAGAUGAGCCAGGUUCUCCCACCUCCCAGUCACAGCGAGCACCUUCCCCUGAAUUCUAAUCAGUAGCACAUGACCCGGAUCACUCAACAAUCACCACCCUUUAUAAGCACACACCUCACACUCAGUCAGCGUUUGGUCUCGAACAGAGCAACAGACUCAUUACCUGUUCUCCAUGCGUUUCUCCUGUGAUCUCCCUUGCUAUCUCCAGUAUUCUCCUGUGAUAUCUCCAGUUCUCCUUUAGUAAGAUUCUCUCCUGUUCUCCGUUCUCUGUGGAUUAACCUUACCCUUGUUCCUUACCUGUUUCCAUCGAGGUGUGUGCUUCAGUCCCAUCAGUCACCAUUCCAACUGAGUGUCCAUGAUGUCCCAACCUGCAAGAUAAAUGGACAGUAUUACUUCUUUCACUAUCAAUCCCCAACCUCUGACGGGAUCGUACAUCGCUGGGCGGACAGGCCCUACCAGCCGAUUGACGGGGAACUUGUGAUUUGGAGCGCCUGAUUGGGAGGGCUCUGGUUACGUCCGACGGAAGAGCAAUGCUCACGGCAUCGAACGGGUCAGCCCUACCAACCGAAAGAUGAAGGGCAGCGGGGUUUAGGAAUGAAGAACCAAAAGGGCCCACUCAGCUUCCGACGGGAGCGGCUUCCCGGCGACAGGUGAGUGGGUCACAUUGGCCGAUGGCGGGGUGAAAGGAAUUGGAAUGCCCGGCCAGGAGAGCUUUCGCAGCGUCCGAUGAGAGACCAAUGCUCAUGGCAUCGGACAGGGAAGCCUCGCUAGCACACAGGAAAGUAAAGCACAGAAGAAUGACCGGGGGGCUCUUGCGGCGUCCGAUGGGAGACCAAGGCUCCGGGAGACCAAGGCUCAUGGCAUCAGAUGGGUAAGCCCUGCCGGAUGGAGAAAGAUAAAAAGAAGGAAACUGACUGGGAGGGCUCUCGCUGCAUCCGACGGGAGAUCAAUACUCACGGCAUCGGACAGGUAAGCCUCCCAGGACGGGGAAGGAGAAAAGAUGGAAACUGACCGGGAGGGCUCUCGCAGCAUCUGAUGGGAGAUUAAGACUGGCAGCAUCGGAUGGGUAAGCCUCGCCAGCGGUAGAGAGAUUUUUUUUUUUUUUCUCUCAAGAAGACUGAGAUUUAGCGGGAGCAGAGGGGACAUUACUGCUGCGGCAGUGGACAAAUUUAGCUAUAGAACUGGGCUCCUAUGGGAGAGGAGGGGACAUCAUUGCUGCUGCAGUGGAAAGGGUCAACCAGACAAACUGAGCUCCUGCUGGAGCGUGGCGAUAACACUGCUGCGGCCGUGAAGGCAAGGUUAGCCUGAAAUGGAGCUCCUGCGGGAGCGAAGGAGACAACACUGCUACUGCAGUGUAAGAACAGAGUGUGCUCCUGCAGGAGCGGGUGAGAAGACACUACUGCAGCAGUGAGGUAGAAUAUUUUCACUAUUUUAGUGGAUUGAUGGUAUUAAUUGAGGCGGAAAUUGUGAGCUUGUAGGAUUGAGCGAGAGAACAAGCUGAAGCUCAAGAAUUUGGCUGGUAAGGGUUCGUUGAGCUUCUUUAACAUGGAAGCGAUUGGAUUGGAUAUAGAUCUUAAAAGCCUUUGAUGGCCAGUGACCAGAGUGUUUGAAUCUGAUGCUGGGAGAGGCCUUUUGGGGCAGCUGUGGUUCCUUGCCGCUGUCGCCUCUGGCUUGCUUAGUUGGGGACACUUGAUAUUCAACAAUGUUUUGAUCUGCCUUCAUUGACACCAUUGUGUGCGAACUGAACUGAACUGGACGAUGACAUCACUGUUUCCUCCAGAGCUGUUGUAUAGAUAAAUUAACUAUAUGAAUAACUAAUGUUUUUUACGAUGGAAUUAAUCAAUACUGAACUUACUUAAGCUGGACAAUAACACAAUUUUCUUCUAGAGCUGCUGUGCAGCCAAAAUUAUACAUUUACCAAUUAAACUGCAGGCGUUAC